rnacentral:rRNA from 1 species
AUUGAACGCUGGCGGCAGGCCUAACACAUGCAAGUCGAACGAGUGGCGGACGGGUGAGUAAUGUCUGGGACACUGCCCGAUGGAGGGGGAUAACCACUGGAAACGGUAGCUAAUACCGCAUACCAUCGGAUGUGCCCAGAGGGGUCUAGCUGGUGGGUGGUGUAAGGGCUCACCUAGGCGACGAUCCCUAGCUGGUCUGAGAGGAUGACCAGCCACAAUGGAACGGAGACACGGUCCCAGAUCCUAAGGGAGGCAGCAGGGGGGAAUAUUGCACAAUGGGCGCAAGCCUGAUGCAGCCAUGCCGCGUGUAUGAAGAAGGCCUUCGGGUUGUAAAGUACUUUCAGCGAGGAGGCGUUACUCGCAGAAGAAGCACCGGCUAACUCCGUGCCAGCCGCCGCGGUAAUAC